CCCAACAUGGCCUCCGGGUUGAAGGCUGAAAACCGGCCAAAGAGUGCCCGAACAAGGUGAGGGGGUGAACAAAGAGUUCCUGAAAGGGGUGAGGGGGUGAUUUAGAACGCCGGCAAGGGGGAGGAGGAACCUCCGCGGAACACCCCCCGCCUCCACUGCCUCCGGGAACUCCCCCGUGUGGAGUAGAAGGUUGGUAAAAAGGAUGGAAAGUCUAAUCUUCACACAUAACAUAUGGAAUGUUUAUGACUGACAAGAAACUCUGAGAAUGUAGCUCUCCUUCCAGCUGCUUGGCAACUAGGAACAGAUUUCCCAAAAUGAGCUGCUAAUAGUAUUAAGAUAAUUACCUCUUUUUCUUCUUCUUCUUUUUGGCUAUAUGUUCAUUCACAAAUUCCCUGUAAUAUCAUUGAUUGCAAAGUGAUAGCCUUGAUGUACCCUGCAAUACAUGUCCGGUACUUAAUAUAUUAUCUCAUAUAUCAUUAAGAUGUUGCAUUAAUGUUCACCUAAGAAAUGCUGCCAAAAAUCUUGCAUUUUUUUCCCUUGAAGGCUAAAACCCCUGCUAACUUGGCAAAGAGGCACCUUUUAACAUGGCGAUUCUCUUUAUUUAGCAGGGGGAGAGCAACUGGCCCUAUCCACCCUCAGCACAGUACUCCAGUGACUGUUGCUGGUGUCUGUCUUAUGUUUCUUUUUAGAUUGUGAGCCCUUUGGGGACAGGGAUCCAUCUUAUGUAUUUAUUAUUUCUCUGUGUAAACUGCCCUGAGCCAUUUUUGGAAGGGCAGUAUAGAAAUCGAAUGAAUGAAUGAAUGAAUUAAAAAAUGCUUCUUGGAUAUUGGGAUUUCCCCCGCCCCACCCAAAGAUUUUAUUAGACUUGGACGGGACAGGACGCAUCCUAUUAAGAGUUCAGGUAUAACUGAAUUGGUUUGCACUAAAUGAAAUGAACUGAAUUAUAUGAUCAAUUCAGGUGUAACAUACCUGAUCCUCCAAACCAUGGCUUUUGCCAAUGACUUCCUCCACCUCCUGCUUCCUUCACUUGUGUGCUCAGAUUCAAUUAGUUACUUUGUAUUUAGUGCAAAACAAUGGUUUAUUGAUACUUCUAAACCAGGAGCCUCUGCUUUUUGCUUGCUCUCCAAACUGAAAUUUCAAACCAGGAUUAAACUGUGGCUUACAAUUCGGGUUUGGAGAUCAAUUUGCCAGUUCAGAUAUGGUGGCAAACAAGAAGUAACAGACUCUGCAUACACAAGAGGGCACAUGCACAUGUAAUGCCAACGCAUAGCAUGGUGUUAUAUCAGAACCAAACCACAGCCUGUUAAAUUACUUCAAUCCUGCUAAAAUCAUUUGAUGGAUCUGGACUGGAAUAGUUAUUCAUUCUAGGGUUGCCACCUCUUUUCUGCCAGGGCUGUUGUGCUUUUAAUAGCCUUUUGAUGAGUAAACAUUCAACAGGUGACAUAAGACGUUACUGUAUCUUAUGCCAGAAAGAAUUGUGGCUGUUGAAAGUCUGCUUGUUUAGAAGCUGUUAGGAAGUUAUGCUGCACCAGUAUAUCCACAGGGGAUGAUAGUGGGUUGACAGGCUCUCAGAUGUGCCAUGAUUCAUUCCCCACCCCACCCCCCAUUUACUGUAGGGAAUGCCUUUACUUGUAAAGGGUAAUCCUCGCCGGAUUCCCCUUUACAAGUAUAUCCCCCGAGCCAGCCCAAGCUGCUUCUCUGAACUGGGGGUCGAUGUGGUUCGAACUCAGACUGGCACCUCCCCCCCUUUGCGGGCUCCAGUUCAAACUCAGAGCGCCUGAACUGGGCCAGCUCGAUGUUGAGCCCAGCUCACACAUCCCUAGAAGAGUGUGCACUUCUCUCCCACCCCCCAUCUUUGUGCAAGCCCCUACUUCCGUUGUACGUUCUGAUAUGCUGAGCAUGAUCGUGUCAUCUGAACCCACCAGUCUCGGCAUAUUCUGCCCUACUUCCCUCAGGGAGCCCAACAUCUGCCAAAAGGGCCAAGAUCCAUUCUUGGUCUAUAGAUGAACACAAGACUGAACAGGUUCCUUGCUGUAAAUAUCUGGGGGUAGUCCUUCACUCCACCGGCACUAGAAAGGUACAUGGUGAUUACAUUGCUCUAAAUGCAAAGAGGAGUACUUCUGCCAUUUUCAGGUUCCUUUGGACAAGGGGGGACCAUUAUAUACCUGUAGCCCUCAAAGCCAAGCUGCUAGUGCAGCUUCUCUAUGGCGUCCAGCUGGAUCCCUUCUCCAGUUUCACCCCAUUGGAACUCGUGCAAUCAAAGUUCUUAAGAGCAGCCCUCCAAGUUCAAAGAUCUGUCUCUAAAGCCACCCUGCAACUGGAGACAGGUUUGAUGAAAGUGGAGGCUAGGGUCUGGAUUACCAUACUUCAUUAUUGGCUUAGACUAUCUCUCUGUCCCCUUAGUCUUACCCCCCUAACCUUGAGCAAAGACUUCCAAUCCAGCUGGAAAUGGUAAAUCAUGACAAAAAUAUCAUCUCUGGGCCUAUCCCACUUUUUAAACAUGGGCUAAUCAGGUCAAGGCUCUCAUCAAACAGCACAUCAAACAGACAUAGAAUAUCAAUCUGAUAUAGGCAGGGCCCCGAACUUCCUCAUCAGCGAAGGACUCAGGUAUUCUGCCUCCCCCAUGGCAUACCUAACAGAACUGGAUGUCCCAAAGCCCAGGAGGGCCUUCAUGCUGGUGUGAUGCCAUGUUCUCCCCUCAGCCAUGCUUGAGGGGAUAUAGGAAGAUUCCACUGUUGGAACAUCAAUGCCCUUGUGACUCUGGGCACACAGAAACAACAGAGAAUGUCCUUCAGUGCUCGUAUUACAGGGAUCCAUCUUAUUUAUUUACUAUUUCUCAGUGUAAACCGCCCUGAGUCUUUUUUGGAAGGGCGGUAUAGAAAUGGAAUAAAUAAAGAAUAAUAAUAAUAUUCGCUCCACCUUCAUUCUACUGUUAUUACAUAAGUAUCCAGACUAUAUGGGCCAAUUUUACACCUCUCUACUGCUUUCUGAUAACACCCCCGCCACCACUUACAGCGUUGCCAGGUUCUGCGUGGCAGUGAUUAAAGUCCGGUGGAUGAUGACCUCUAGCUCAUGCCCAGCACCCAACUUUAUGGACUAGCCUCAGUGCACCCUCGGCCUGCUGCCACACAGCGCUUCAUGGCAGCCCUGCACUCUUACAAUUUUACAGUUCUACAGCUUCUCGGUUCCUUAGUUUGUCUUAAAUUGACAAAACUCUUAUUAUGCCUAUAGUUGCCCCUGUAUGAUUUUAUAUGUCUUGUUACAUCUUUUUAAUGCCUUUUAUAUAACAUUUUAAUGCAUUUUCCCUUCAUGUCUUAUGCCUUUAUGUCUUUUAUGCUUUUUAUAAACCCUUUAUAAACAUCUGUAAACACUUUUUACCAUUAUUAGCUACUAUUAACUGCAGCCUUCAGAUCUCGGCCAUUAGGGGCCACCUGGUUUGAGGUCUUGCUUUUGUUUUGGACAGUCAUAGUCUUAAAUUUUACUUUUACUUCUGAUUUCUAUAGUCUUUUAUAGUGUUUAUAAAUCCAUAGCAACAGUUUUAUCUUUCCUUGCCAUAUGCUUAUACUGGGUCACUCACCUCUCAGUGUAGGAUGUCACUUAUUGUGUUUUUUAUUGUUCUUAUGCUGGUCUAAGACUAAAAUAAAGGUGAUUGAUUGAGGAUGUCAGGAUCCCUCAGGGAAAUAGGGCAGGAUAUGCCAAAAUUGGUGGGUUCAGACAACAUGAACAAUUUGGGCAUAUUGGAACCUAAAACAGAAGUUUGUGCAGGGAUGGAGGGAAGUGUGCACUCCUGAGGCAGCAGCUACUUCAGGUACCACCGUUAUGUCUAAACCCACCCACUGAAAUAUUGAAAGAGAAUGUCAAGGUUCCCCCGCAAGGAGAAACAUCAGAGAAUUUUCUCAGUUGGUUUCUUCAUAUCCUUAUAAAUAAUCUAUGAGGGAGGUGAGGAUGAGAGCGAAUGACUGGUGCAAGGUCACUGAGACAAUCCUGGCUCUCAUAAAUGCUCUUGCCAUUUGCUUGUCAUCUCACUAGCAAUAGCAAUAAUACAGUCACAUUUUGAAGCCAAUUUAUUAGUCAUAAGACCUAUAUGUUGCAUGGCCACAGUCUUUCUGCCAUUUUAAACAUUUCCAGGAUUUGAAUUACACCCUUCAGCUAAAUUGGAUGUAACAAAAUAGGCUGUGAUUUUAAAUGGCAGCGGAAAACGGUCAACAUAAAACAGUUUGGAAUGCAAUCAGUGGCUUCAAGGUAUUUAAGUAGAGCUACUAUGUGGAAUUAACUAGACUCUGCACUUUUUUCUCAUUAGUAACAUGAUCUGCUUUCCUCUACAUUCAGAAAAUUGAUGGGAAAUAAUGGAACAGUUUUCCCACAGGCCUUCUCAGCACAAAUGCAGGAUGACAUCACCACCUUUGUCCUCUACACAAUACCAUCCUGUCUCAUCAGCACAAUUUUUUAUUACUACAAAGGCUGUGAAAGAGUGUUCUAAGAUUUGCCAGUCUCGGGACCGCUCCAUGAUGACAAGACAAGUGACAGAAAAAUGGCACCAGACCAACAAAAUCCCGAUAUUAUUCUAAAUGGUCCUAUUCUGAAACGUGAAGAUAGGAAUGUUACUGGAUGUACAAAAAAUAGGGAUAUGGAUGGAACCGACUAGCCCGGUUCGGUUCAAGUCCGGUCCGGACUCAAACCAGACGUCGAACCUGUUUGCACAUCCCUACUGUCUCCCUUGUGUUUGUGAAUUCCUCGGGGCAGGGAGUAACCUGCCCUCUCAUUCUUUGUAAAGCACCACAUACCAGAAUGGCAUAAUCAUAACAACAAAUUAGGCAUCAAAGAUUUUAAUGGAAGGUUCCGAAUUCAAGCAUCUAUUUACUGGAAUCUAACUCACAAGCCUCCUUCCUUGCUUGCUAUAGCAGCUAUGUGAUUCCCAAUAAAAUGAUCCCAUUGAGAUGGCUGCUCAGUUUACCUGUAGAGUAUCACUGCUUUUUAAAGUAGUGGAUUAAAUCUCAUAUUCAGGAUCUUUUUCUGUGCAGGAAACUUAACACCUGUCGAUGGAGGCAAAUUAUAAAGUGAUAAUUAUCAUGUCAAUUGAUUUUACGAAUGGCUCCUACGCAGAACUGACCAGUUAUCGCUACAUGAGAGAGUGCAGUGCGGUGGAGUGAUUAGACUGAAGAGACUUGGAUUUAAACCAUCAUGUUCUUGGGCAAGAAACCAUGGCAAUCUUCAGAUAUUUUAAAAAGGGGAGGGUACACCACAAGUUCAGCAUCCCGAGAGUGCACCCAGACACCCCACCCACUGUCCAUGCUUAAAGUGUUUGAAGAUACAAAUAUGGUAACCUUGGGCUGAUUUUUUCUGGGUGACUCACCCAGCCUUCUGAUCACCGAAAACAUCUAUUCAUGGUUACAACAGUUAUCUCUGCAGACAAACAUUGUAAGCACAAGCAGCACAGCUUCUGAGCAUGCCAGUUUGGAGCAAGGCUUGAACAUACAUUGCUUCACUUAAAAAAAAAAAUCUGAAAAGGCCUCAUCUCUCAGCCUAACCUACUUCACAGAGCUGUUGUGAGAAUAAAAUGAAGAGAGCACUUCAUGCUGCCCUGAUGUCCUCAGAGAAUGAAGAGGCGAAAAGUGUAAAAAAUUACAUGGAUAACUAUGUAAAAGACUAUAAAAAACAAUUAGGGAUAUACCUAGAGCAGGCAUCCCCAAACU